rnacentral:rRNA from 1 species
AACGAACGCUGGCGGCAUGCCUAACACAUGCAAGUCGAACGAGACCUUCGGGUCUAGUUGCGCACGGGUGCGUCGCGCGUGGGAAGCUUCACUUAUGUUCGGGAUACCUCCCCGACAGGGGUGCUAAUGCCGGGUAAUGUACUCUAACCCAAGAUUUAUCGUCCUUGGGUGGGCACGGGUUCGAUUGGCCAGUUGGGAGGGUAAGGGCCCACCAAGGCGACGAUCCGUAGCUGGGCUGAGAGGCAGAACGGCCACACUGGAACUGAGACACGGGCCAGACUCCUACGGGAGGCAGCAGUGGGGAAUAUUGGACAAUGGGCGCAAGCCUGAUCCAGCCAUACCGCGUGGGUGAAGAAGGCCUUCGGGUUGUAAAGCCCUUUUGUUGGGAAAGAAAAGCAGCAGGUUAAUACCCCGCUGUUCUGACGGUACCCAAAGAAUAAGCACCGGCUAACUUCGUG